rnacentral:rRNA from 1 species
GGCGCACGGGUGAGUAACACGUAUGCAACCUACCCUGUACAGGGGGAUAGCCCGGAGAAAUUCGGAUUAAUACCCCAUAAUGAUAUUAAGAGGCAUCUUUUGAUAUUUAAAGUUUCGACGGUACGGGAUGGGCAUGCGCAACAUUAGCUAGUUGGUAGGGUAACGGCCUACCAAGGCUACGAUGUUUAGGGGACCUGAGAGGGUGAUCCCCCACACUGGUACUGAGACACGGACCAGACUCCUACGGGAGGCAGCAGUGAGGAAUAUUGGUCAAUGGGCGUAAGCCUGAACCAGCCAUCCCGCGUGCAGGAAGAAGGCGCUAUGCGUUGUAAACUGCUUUUCCAGGGGAAGAAAACCCUCGACGUGUCGGGGCUUGCCGGUACCCUGGGAAUAAGCAUCGGCUAACUCCGUGCCAGCAGCCGCGGUAAUACGGAGGAUGCGAGCGUUAUCCGGAUUUAUUGGGUUUAAAGGGUGCGUAGGCGGAUUAAUAAGUCAGUGGUGAAAACCUGCAGCUUAACUGUAGAACUGCCAUUGAUACUG